rnacentral:rRNA from 1 species
UACGAAGGGGGCUAGCGUUGCUCGGAAUCACUGGGCGUAAAGGGUGCGUAGGCGGGUCUUUAAGUCAGGGGUGAAAUCCUGGAGCUCAACUCCAGAACUGCCUUUGAUACUGAGGAUCUUGAGUCCGGGAGAGGUGAGUGGAACUGCGAGUGUAGAGGUGAAAUUCGUAGAUAUUCGCAAGAACACCAGUGGCGAAGGCGGCUCACUGGCCUGGUACUGACGCUGAGGCACGAAAGCGUGGGGAGCAAACAGG